UGAAUUGUUACACAGACAUGACUGAGGAGUAACAACUAAGAAUGUUUUAUAUUGGAACAUACUCAUUCAGCUACUUCACAUAACCAACAGAAAGAAUAUAAGCCUGCUGUGCAACUGUGUAUUAAUGAAAAACAAGCAAACCAGAAUAGCUCAUUAUCAAGAUGGUCUGUUUUUAAAUGAAGAUCCAAGAGCAAUAGAGCAUUUUAAAAUCAUGACGGACUUUUACCACAGGCUGUACUUCGAAAGGAUUAAAAUCUUGUUUGUAGGUAGUACCAAGAUCAAUUUUCCCCUGUUUGGG